rnacentral:rRNA from 1 species
CAUACGGGGGGCUGCAGUGGGGAAUAUUGGACAAUGGGCGAAAGCCUGAUCCAGCCAUGCCGCGUGUGUGAAGAAGGCCUUCGGGUUGUAAAGCACUUUCAGUGGGGAAGAAAGCCUUGGGGCUAAUACCCUCGAGGAAGGACAUCACCCACAGAAGAAGCACCGGCUAACUCCGUGCCAGCAGCCGCGGUAAUACGGAGGGUGCGAGCGUUAAUCGGAAUUACUGGGCGUAAAGCGCGCGUAGGCGGUCUGAUAAGCCGGUUGUGAAAGCCCCGGGCUCAACCUGGGAACGGCAUCCGGAACUGUCAGGCUAGAGUGCAGGAGAGGAAGGUAGAAUUCCCGGUGUAGCGGUGAAAUGCGUAGAGAUCGGGAGGAAUACCAGUGGCGAAGGCGGCCUUCUGGACUGACACUGACGCUGAGGUGCGAAAGCGUGGGUAGCAAACAGGAUUAGAUACCCUAGUAGUC